UUAAAGUAAUUCAAAGUUUCUAACAAUUUCUUUUAUAACUUACUCUCAAAGUAAUCAACAUUGCCUUGUAGUCACCGUCACUCCCCAUGAAAAAUCACCAAAGUUAAAAAUAUUAAACUAUUUAGAUACUUAACUAUUACUAGAUCUAAUAGAGAGCUCUACUUUAUAAUUCUCUUUCAUAUCAAACUUUCGGGCAAAGAAGAGAUCAAAUGUGUUUCAAUUUAGGAUUCAAAAUCAAGAAGGGAAAGUAUGUUCGUGUGAAUAAGGAGAGCAAUAUUAAUGGAGAGGAGGAAAGCAAAGGCCUGUUGUACAAAGAGAUUGAGCGAUGGAAGAAGCAACAACAGGAGAUGUUAAAUCAAGAAAGGGCAUCAUCACUCUCAAAUCAAUCCACCUUUAACAAUUGAUGAUCAUGGUUUCACUAAUCCCCUCCUUUAAUCUUUUCAUUAGUUUGUAUUGAAUCGAUGUUUUGAUUUGUUGAUCAUGAUGUGAGAAUUGUUCGAUUAAAUUGGAUGUGCGCAAAGGGAGUCAAUAUUGAUAAGUAGUUCAGUUUCUUAUCUUGUAUUAACAUUAGGCUUAUUCUAAAAGAGAGAGGGAGGGAAAAAAAAAAGAAUAUUGAAAAAUCAAGAAUCAAGGAACAAACUAAUAUUGUCCAUGGUGUGUUUGUAUGUAUAGAUGUGUGUGUAUGUUUUUGGCGGAUAUAUAUAUAUAUAUAUAUAUAUAGGGGGAAAUAAAAAAAUCUCUUGCCGUUCACGUAUGCUUAUAUUAGCUUUGAUGUAUUUGAAGCUAAUAAUUAAUUAAUUAACAAUUAAUAAUUAUUUUAUCUUCUUGUGGGUAUUUUUAAUUAAUAAUAUAUUUUAUUUUAUUUUAUUUCUACAGAU
rnacentral:lncRNA from 1 species